AUGACCACGUGUACGGCAUGGAUUUCUCCAGAGUCUUAAUGGCGUGUUCGUUCACUGUCAGAUAUCAGCAUAUCAGAAAGUCACGCAGGCGGAAAUCAUAUAUAACGGUUUUCUUCUUUUCGUGGAUAGCUUAAUGUUUUUUCCAUUCUAAAGAACAAUGGCCACCUUGAACAUCAGGGAGAUGCGGUUGCUUUCCUCAGGCUCAAACGAGGUUAUAAACUCAUAACCUGACAAAGGAAACACUUUCAGGAUUAAGUAUGUGCGUAAAAACAAUAUCUCUUACCUCAAGUAUGCAAAUCUGUUACUUACAUCAUUCAUCAUAUAUACAGAAUCAACUCUUAUUGG